rnacentral:rRNA from 1 species
CAGCAGCCGCGGGAAUACGGAGGAUCCGAGCGUUAUCCGGAAUUAUUGGGUUUAAAGGGUGCGUAGGCGGAUAGAUAAGUCAGUGGUGAAAGACGGUGGCUCAACCAUCGCAGUGCCGUUGAUACUGUUUAUCUUGAAUAUGGAUGAGGUAGGCGGAAUGUGGCAAGUAGCGGUGAAAUGCAUAGAUAUGCCACAGAACACCGAUUGCGAAGGCAGCUUACCAAGGCAAAAUUGACGCUGAGGCACGAAAGCGUGGGGAUCGAACAGGAUUAGAUACCCGAGUAGUCCCUGUCUCUUAUAC